GGGGGUGAAUAUGGUUUCGACGGGGGCACUAAGCCAAGAGUAGCGAGCCGUUGUGGCCAAUCAACGUAAAAAGUGGCACCUAAAUAUAAACGCUGAAGAAAAUUACGCUUUAGCUGCGUAAUAAGAAUACGCAGCCGCUUCCUCUAGUAGACCCGCCUACUAGAGUGUAAGCGCCAUAAUUUUGCGGGCCACUGCUAUAGGGGUGUUCCGACCUAUAGUAGUAUAACUGGAGCUAGCCUAGUAUAAAGCCUGUUGCUGGGCGUUAUACUAGGCGAAUAAUAAAACAGCAACUGCGCUCGGAGAAGCUUUUGGUAAGGUGUCUUCGGACGUGGGUUCGACUCCCACCACCUCCACCA
rnacentral:tmRNA from 1 species